UACGGAGGGUGCGAGCGUUGUCCGGAAUCAUUGGGCGUAAAGGGCGCGUAGGUGGCCCGCUCAGCGUGCGGUGAAAGCUCGGGGCUCAACCCCGAGUCGGCCGUGCGAACUGGUGGGCUGGAGCACUGUAGAGGCAGGCGGAAUUCCGGGUGUAGCGGUGGAAUGCGUAGAGAUCCGGAAGAACACCGAUGGCGAAGGCGGCCUGCUGGGCAGUUGCUGACACUGAGGCGCGACAGCGUGGGGAGCAAACAGG
rnacentral:rRNA from 1 species